UGCAGAAGCUCUUUAAUUUGAUUAAGUCUCAUUUGUCAAUUUUUGUUUUUGUUGCAUAUGCCUUUGAGGUCUAGUCAUAAAUUCUUUGCCUAGGAAAUGUCCAUAAGAUUUUUUCCUAGGUUUUCUUCUAGAAUGUUUAAAGUUUGAAGUCUUACAUUUAAGUCUGUAAUCCAUCUAGAGGUAAUUUUUGUAUAUGGUGAGAGGUAGGGGCCCAGCGUCAUUCUUCUGCAUAUAGGUAGCCAGUUUUUCCAACACUAUUUAUUGAAUAGGAUGUCCUUUCCUUAUUGUUUAUUUUUGUUGAUUUUGUCAAAAAUCAGUUGGUUGCAGGUAUAUGGCUUUAUUUCUGGGUUCUCUGUUCUGUUCCAUUGAUCUCUGUGCCUAUUUUUGUACCAGUAUACCAUGCUGUUUUUGUUACUGUAGUCUUGUAGUAUAGUUUGAAGUCAGGUAAUGUGAUGCCUCCAGCUUUGUAUUUUUGCCUAGGAUUGCUUUGGCUAUUCGGCUAUUUUUUGGUUCCAUAUGAAUUUUAGGAUUUUUUUUUCUAAUUCUGUGAAAAAUGAUGUUGAUAAUUUGAUAGGAAUUGUGUUGUAUCUGUAGAUUGCUUUCUUCCAACCCAUUAGCUGGGAUGUUUUUCCAUUUUUUUGUGUCAUCUAUGAUUUCUUUCAUCAGUGUUUUAUAGUUCUCUCUGUAGAGCUCUUUCACCUCCUUGGCUGGAUACAUUCUUUGGUAUUUUAUUUUGUGUAUGGGGGACUAUUGUAACUGAGAUCACCACGUUCCUGAUAUGGUUCUCAGCCUGAACCUGAACAUUGUUGGUGCAUAGAAAUGCUACUGAUUUUUAGGCCAGGCACAGUGGCUCACGCCUGUAAUCCCAGCACUUUGGGAGGCCGAGGUGGGCAGAUCACCUGAGGUCAGGAGUUUGAGACCAGCCUGACCAACAUGGUGAAACCCCGUCUCAAUUAAAAAUACAAAAAUUAGCCAGGUGUGGUAACACCUGCCUGUAAUCCCAGCUACUUGGGAGGCUGAGGCAGGAGAAUUGCUUGAACCUGGGAGGCGGAGGUUGCAGUGAGCUGCGAUCACACCACUGCACUCCAGCCUGGGUGAUAGUGAGACUCCGUCUCAAAUAAAAAGAAAUGCUACUGAUUUUUGUACACUGAUUUUGUAUCUUGAGUGUAGAAAGUCAAAAGUUUUUUUUUUGUUAAGGAGUAAAUUAUGUGUUAGAAAUAAUAGUUUUUUCUAAAGACUAACUUUUUUUAAGCCUUUUCGCUUUGUGCUAAUAACUUUUUGUUAAGCCCUAUCAUAUGUAGCUGUUAGAUAUAAGGGAAUGAGUACAUUCUAUGUCCUUGUACUUUAACCAAGAUAUUUGUGCUGGACGUGCUCACAGGCAUGUCCCAGCUUGCAGCCCAUGCCCCUUCCUUAUUUGGAAAUGUUAUUACUUUUCUAAGUCCUUUCAUAAGCAACUUCCUCUUUUCCUUUGUCUUUCCACUGCUUUUACCUAUUUAGAAAAGUUUUAAGUUAUUAGCCAGUCGGGUUUUAGUUUAGACUGUGAGGUUUGGCUCCAGCCAAUGGAGACAGGACACGGUAGCAGGGACAAGCUGCGUAAGGAAUAAAAAUUGCUUCUCUCCAUUAUUCAGGUGUGCUCUCGCCAUUGUUCCAUCUGCGAGGAGCACCCUUUCUGCAGAAAGUAAAAUUGGCUUGCUAAAAAAACUUUUUGUCUAAAUGCUGAUUUUUCCUUGCAGUACCGAGGAACAAGCAUUCUGUUUCUAAACAAGCAUUUUACUUAUAACAUUGAGACUUUACUGAAGUUGUUUAUCAAGUCUAGGAGUCUUUUGGAGGAAUCUUCAGGGUUUUCUAGGUAUAGAAUCAUAUCAUGGAUGAACAAAGAUAAUUUGACUUCCUCUUUUUUUUUUUUUCAUUUGGAUCCCUUUUAUUUCUUUCUCUUGCCUAAUUGCUCUGACUAGGACUUCCAGUACUCUAUUGAAUAGGAGGGGUGAGAGUGGACAUCCUUGUCUUGUUCCAGUUUUUAGGGGGAUUGCUUCCAAUUUUUGCCUGUUCAAUAUCAUGUUGCCGGCUGAGCUCUUUACCUACUGUGUGACUUGGGAGAGCUGCUAAACCAGCUGGAGCCUCAGUUUCCCCCCAUGUAAAAUGGGUACAGCAAGGAAUAUCUGCCUUGCAGGGUCAAAGUGAGGAUUAAGUGAGAUAGCAUGGGUAAAGCCCCUAGCACACAACAGGGGGGCUCCUCGGCCCCAGAGGAUGUCAGGAACAUGUCAGUGUCCCAGAGCCAUCAGGAACAUGUCAGUGUCCCAGAGCCAUCAGGAACAUGUCAGAGCAUGUGGGGACAUGUCAGAAAGUGUCUCAGAGCAUGCCAGGCAGCCCAGCAUUCUAGGGCACAGAUCAGGUAUCAGUGGCCCAGGCAUCUCAUGCAAACGGGUGUGGCAGUGGGGACCCUGAGAGCUGGGACUCUGUAAAAGGGACAAGAGCGUAGUUCUGUGAGAACCUGGGUGCAGAGUUCUGAGACCUUCUAAUUUUUCAAGAAAACCAGGUCAUUCAAAUUUUUAUGUGAAACUGUCUGGUAUUUAAAAGCAGCCAACUAAUCUCAAGUAUAAACAGACAGGCACGCCUAAUGUGCAAGUCACACUCUGCUCUCCCUCCUCCCUCCCCCCUCCUUGGUCCUCAGGGAGUGCUGAGGCUUCUGGGGUCUCUCUGACCAGGGUGGAGCCACUGGCCACCAGGGCUCUGGAGCACUUGGGAUUUGGCUCGUCCAAACCAAAACCUGCUGCAAGUGCAAAGUUCACACCUGAUUUUUAAGACUUAGAAUAAGGAGGUGGGGAAUGUGAAAUAUCUCAUUUAAUAGUUUUAGAUUGGUUUCAUGUUGAAGUGAUAAUAUUCUGGAUAUAUUGGGUAAAAUAAAAUUAUAUUAUUCACCGGCA
rnacentral:lncRNA from 10 species